GUAAAAAAUGUGAGAAUGGCAAUUGGACAGCAUCCGAAGAAUGUCCAGGCAUUCCUUGUAAAGUUGAGCCAUUGAGUGUCGGACUGAGACGUGUUGGAAGUGCAUCCCAAAAUCUAGUGAAUCCUGGAGACAUAUUACGGUUUUUGUGU